CCAACUCACCAAUGGUCCAAUAGAACAGACGUUGGUCCACAUUUGCAAUCGAUGCCCUCGAGCCGCCACGCAGUCGGGUUGACAGUUCUACUACUCUCCACGACUUGACGCGAGGGCGAGGCCCUUCUUCGGCGGCUCUCCGCACGGCGCUGGACAAGAAGGUGGAGGAGGUUUGGUUUCCCUCGUGGCCCCGUCGCCACCUCGCCAAGGCUAGGGACGGAACGGAACGCCGCCCAGAGGCUCCUCUGCCUACUCGAAGGCCUGGGAGGCAAGGGAUCAUCGAUACACCAUCCUGAGCCAAGAGCCCUCUGUUGCCUGAUGUGCGCGCUUUCAUAAGCUCCUAGUUUGACUCCAAAGUUGGAAAUUGCUGGCAGCUUCAGCCAAGUGGUAGUUGAUUGGAAGCUGAACUGUUGGUUCAUGUAACAGUAGAUUGCAACGCGGGUUGCAAGUUCACGGACCAACAAGCAGUUACUUAGCUAUUGGGAGUUCAUUUGACUCUUCUGCGAUAACACAGUGAGAGAUGGACGGGUUCAUGGCAAGUGCAGCGACAGGGGUGAUGAGCUCCCUUCUCGCCAAGCUCGCUGAGCUGCUUGGGGAGGACUACAAGAUGCAGAGGGGCAUGAGGCGCGAGAUCGCGUUCCUCAAGGAUGAGCUGGGCAGCAUGAACGCGCUGCUGGAGAGGCUAGCCGGCUCGGAGGCGCUCGAUCCGCAGACCAAGGAGUGGAGGGACCAGGUGAGGGAGAUGAGCUACGACAUCGAGGACUGUGUCGAUGGUUACAUGCGUCAGCUGCAGCACGAGCCGCAGAGGAACAGUGGAAUCACGGGAUUCUUCCUUGGGUAUGUGCAGAAGGUGAAGGAUCUCGUUACCCGUCACGAGAUUGCCGAGCAGAUUCAGGAGCUCAAGGCUCGGAUCGUUGAGGCUAGCCACAGAAGGAAGAGGUACAAGAUUGAUGACACAGCUAAUUCUGGUGCCGCCAAUGUGAUCCCUGUGGACCGUCGGUUGCCAGCGCUCUAUGCAGAAUUGGGUAGCCUUGUUGGUAGCGAUGUUCCUAGAGAUGAGAUUAUCAAGCUACUUGAUGAUGGGGCGCUGGCCGUAAAGGUGGUGUCUAUUGUGGGCUGUGGAGGACUGGGAAAGACUACUGUCGUGAAUCAGGUUUACAUAAACAUCGCCGAGAAAUUUGAUUGCCAAGCCUCUGUGUCCUUGUCCCAAAAUCCUGAUAUGGUGAACAUAUUCCGGUCGAUACUGUCUCAAGUCAAGAAAGAUGAGUGUGGUAGCACCAGCUCAUGUGACAAGGAACUUCUCAUCAAUGAAUUGAGGGAUUUCCUUAAGGACAAGAGGUAUUUUAUUGUAAUUGAUGACAUAUGGAGUACCCAAGCAUGGAAGACAAUUAAAUUUGCUUUGGUUGAGAAUACUUGCGGCAGUAGAGUAAUAGUGACAACAAGAAUUGGUACUAUUGCCAAAUCUUGUUCAUCCCCAUUCCAUCAUCUCGUAUAUGAAUUGAGGAUGCUAGGUGAAGAUGACUCCAAAAGGCUAUUCUUUAGAAGAAUUUUUGGCUCUGAGGACAAGUGCCCUCACCAUUUAAAAGAGGUUUCAGUUGAAAUAAUUAAGAAGUGUGGUGGUUUACCAUUGGCAAUCAUUACUAUGGCUAGUUUGUUGACUACUAAAUCAUAUACCAGAGCUGACUGGUUGAAGGUUUCUAAUUCAAUUGGAUCUGGGCUAGAGAAAAAUUGUGAUGUGGAGGAAAUGAACAUGAUAUUAUCUCUGAGUUACAAUCACCUUCCUCAUCAUUUAAAGACUUGUUUAUUGUAUCUAAGUAUGUUUCCUGAAGAUUAUGUGAUCAAGAGGGAUUAUUUGGUAAGAAGGUGGGUAGCAGAAGGAUUUGUUAGUGCACAUGGUAGAAGAAAUCUGGACGAUGAAGGCGAAUGCUAUUUUAAUGAACUUAUCAACAGAAGCUUAAUACAACCGGUAGAUUUUCAGUAUGAUGGUAGAGUAUAUGCAUGCCGGGUUCAUGAUAUGAUUCUUGAUCUGAUUACAUGCAAGGCUGUUGAAGAAAAUUUCAUAACUGUUGUUACUAAUAGAAAACAAAUGUUGCCCUCACAUGGCAAGGUCCACCGACUGUCACUUGAGUACCAUGGUCUUGAAACCUUAAGAACAAAUCCCAUUUUUACUACUCAUGUUCGGUCCCUGAACAUAUUUAGAUACUCUGAAGAAAUGCUUCCUCUUUCAGGCUUGCACUCCCUAAGAGUGCUUGAUCUAGAUGGCAAUGAGAAUUUGGAAAGCUGUUACCUUGAAGAUAUAGGGAAGUUAUAUCAGUUGCGAUACCUACGGAUUAAGGCAAGUAAUAUUACACUUCUGGAAAGGAUAGAAGAGCUUCAGUGUUUGGUAAUACUGGAUCUUCUGAAUUGCCCUAAUCUAGGUGAAUUGCCUAGAAGUAUUGUUCAACUUCGGAACUUGAAAUGGUUAACUGUUCAUCGAGCGAACUUGCCAGAUGGAGUUGGGAACAUGCAAGCGCUAGAGUUUCUUUCACUUGUAGUUGUGGACUACACUACCUCAACAAACUUAUUGGAAGAGCUGGGCAGCUUGACCAAAUUGAGAACUCUUAGGUUGGAUUGGCGCAUCAACCCCCUGCACAGGGAUAAAAAAACAUAUGAGGGUAAUUUUGUUUCUUCACUUGGCAAACUAGGCAGUUCAAACCUUCGAUACCUAACACUCAUCAGUCCAUGGUCACUCGACUUCCUGUUGGAACCUUGGUCCCCAACUCCACAUUUCCUUCAGGAGUUAGUGAUCAAAGGAUGGCAUCUCAACAAUAUUCCAGUCUGGAUGGCCUCGCUAACCAACCUCACCUACCUGGACGUUGAGGUUAAAGUUAGACAAGAAACUCUCCAGAUCCUCGGAGAUUUCCCUGCCUUACAAUUCCUGAAGGUGUCCUCAAAUGCAGCAGGAUCUGAGGCAAUGUGCCUUGUCGUCAGCAACGAUGGAUUCCGAUGUCUGAAGAAGUUCAGUUUCGUUGGCUGGGUAAACAUGAUGUUCAAAGAAGGAGCUGUUCCAGCGCUUGAAACUCUUGAGUUUCAAAUCAUAGCGCACGAGAUGCAUACUGCACGCAGAUUUGGUCCUCCUGAUUUCGGCAUCAGCCACCUCUCCACCCUCAGGAAUCUCGUCGUCAAUGUUCACUGUGAAGGUUCAAGGGUUAAAGAGGUGGAGGCAGUAGAGGCUGCUAUCCAGAAGUCAGCCAGUACGCUUCCUAAUUAUCCCACACUAGGUUUGCACAGAUUUCUCGAGUCAGAACUGGUAAAAGAAUGACGUUAAUGGAGAAGCGGCAGAGCCAUGAGGGAGGACAAGAAACAGCUAAUAAGCCUUGUCUAGUUCUGCUCCCAAGUGCCUUAAGCUACUCCUUUUUCCCGACGAAUACGCGCAGAUGCUAGAGGCCUGGUGCUAUCACUAUAUCACAGGAAGUAACCUGAGCAUCUUGGUUCCGCCUUGGUGCUACUAUCUACCUAUCGGGCAUCAUCAGCAAACUCUAUGGUACAUCAUAGUAAGGGUCACAAAAAAAAAAACAUGCUGAGGAUUGGAGGAAUCUUUUGACAUGAAAAGCAAGACAUAGCAGGUUAUACAUACAUAGAUGCGCACAGGUGCUCUAUCUGAAUCAGAUGCCCUUGCUGAACAGGAGCAGCAGCCACCCAUUGUAUCUCUAGAAUGAAAUGCUUACUACAGGCUAUCCUCUAGCUGACGUUAAAAACCAAAGUCCCGUUGUUCAUAUCCCUACAAAGAGAAACCCUGUGCUGGUGCAAGGACAGGAAAUCGUGUGAUAAAUACAAAUGGUGUGGAAAGAGCUUAACAAUGCAACAAUAUCUAUGUAGCACUAGCACCAUAAUGGAGACGAU